UACGAAGGGGGCAAGCGUUGUUCGGAAUCAUUGGGCAUAAAGGGCGCGUAGGCGGGCCUGUAAGUCGAUUGUGAAAUCCCUGGGCUCAACCCGGGAAUUGCAGUCGAAACUGUAGGCCUUGAAUGUUCGAGAGGAUGGUGGAAUUCCUGGAGUAGUAGUGAAAUACGUAGAUAUCAGGAGGAACACCGGAGGCGAAGGCGGCCAUCUGGCGAAACAUUGACGCUGAGGCGCGAAAGCGUGGGGAGCAAACAGG
rnacentral:rRNA from 1 species